rnacentral:rRNA from 1 species
UACGUAGGGUGCAAGCGUUAAUCGGAAUUACUGGGCGUAAAGCGUGCGCAGGCGGUUGUGCAAGACAGAUGUGAAACUCCCCGGGCUUAACCUGGGAACUGCAUUUGUGACUGCACAGCUGGAGUGCGGCAGAGGGGGAUGGAAUUCCGCGUGUAGCAGUGAAAUGCGUAGAUAUGCGGAGGAACACCGAUGGCGAAGGCAAUCCCCUGGGCCUGCACUGACGCUCAUGCACGAAAGCGUGGGGAGCAAACAGG